rnacentral:rRNA from 1 species
UACGAGGGGAGCAAGCGUUGUUCGGAUUUACUGGGCGUAAAGGGCGCGUAGGCGGUCGUGACAAGUCACUUGUGAAAUCUCCGGGCUUAACUCGGAACGGUCAAGUGAUACUGUCGGACUAGAGUACAGAAGGGGCAACUGGAAUUCUCGGUGUAGCGGUGAAAUGCGUAGAUAUCGAGAGGAACACCUGCGGCGAAGGCGGGUUGCUGGGCUGAUACUGACGCUGAUGCGCGAAGGCCAGGGGAGCAAACGGG